rnacentral:tRNA from 1 species
GCGGAUGUGGCGGAAUUGGCAGACGCGCUAGACUUAGGAUCUAGUGGGGCAACCCUUGGGAGUUCGAGUCUCCCCAUCCGCA